rnacentral:pre_miRNA from 1 species
AAUAGAUGACGCCAUUGAUUUUUUCUCAUAUGUUUAACCAUUCGUCUUAUUUAAAAAAUUUACGUAAUUAUAAUUUAUUUUCUUAUGAGUUGUUUUAUCACUCAUAGUAAUUUAAGUGUGAUUUAUAUAUUAUACAUUUGCAUAAAAUUUUUUAAUAAGACGAAUGGUCAAACAUGUGAGAAAAAGUCAACGGCGUCAUCUAUU